CAGCAGCCGCGGGAAUACGAGGGGUCCUAGCGUUGCUCGGAAUCACUGGGCGUAAAGCGGAUGUAGGCGGACAGCCAAGUCAGAUGUGAAAGCCCCGGGCUCAACCUGGGAAUUGCGUUCUGAACUGGGUGGCUAGAGUGUGUCAGAGGGGGGUAGAAUUCCACGUGUAGCAGUGAAAUGCGUAGAGAUGUGGAGGAAUACCGAUGGCGAAGGCAGCCCCCUGGGAUAGCACUGACGUUCAUGCCCGAAAGCGUGGGUAGCAAACAGGAUUAGAGACCCCAGUAGUCACUGUCUCUUAUAC
rnacentral:rRNA from 1 species